CGUCAGCAGCCACAUCAGCAGCCCGGUCAACAGCCCCGACCAACCAGGAUGCACCGCGUGGCAAGGAAACGCUGACCAAGGGAUGGGCCACGUGGGCGAUCCGCGUGCGCGCGAUCGGACGGCCCAGAUCCGUUCCCGUGCGGACGGAUAGCCCAAAUCAAACGUGCGCACGGACGGCCCAGAUUGCAUUGCGAUGAACGACCCAGAUUUAAUC
rnacentral:lncRNA from 1 species